GGUACAGAUCAACCCCUGGAUCAGGCAACUAUCAGUCUACAGAUGGGUACCAACAAGGGCGCCAGCCAGGGUGGCUGCCAGCACGCAGCCGGAUAUCCAGUGUGGGUGUCAACUUUUGAGUGUCACCUCCUUUGGGUCACCUGUCUAGAAGUCUUGUGUUUAUGUGGAUGUACAAGUGUGUCGGAGGGUCAGCCUCAGCUGGUGGUCCCCACUUGCUAUCCAUGUUUUCUAUUAAAAUGUUCUAUUUGGGCUGGAAA
rnacentral:lncRNA from 1 species